AACGAAAGCAGAAGUGAGUGUAGUGUUCACGGCACUUGUCACCGCGAUUGGCUAUCGGUCUGUACUAGCGUGGGCUUUUUAUAGAACUCCUUCUCGGUUUGCUCGACCUGAACGUACAGGUCGUGCCUUGGUAACAUGCUGCAUGUCUGUCACCUGGCCGUUUAAUUCGGUGCAGUUGGUGGACGCGUACUGGCGGUGUCUAGAAAGGAGACGAUACGGAGGUGCCGUGUUAGUACCGGAGAGGAGGAGCGAGGGGACCGGUUAGCUCGCCUGGCACGUCACUCCUGCCGUAGGGGCAGCAGCAAAAGCGGCAGGAGGUGUUGCCGCUGUGGCCGCUUGCCAGCGUCCGCCAGGCCGUGGAGCCGGUCCGCACGGUUCUGACCCCGAAGAAGGACCACUGGUUGGUACCCCACGGGCUCCGAGAGACCUCCCGCUACUACCUGCGCACGUUCUUCGACGAGUGGGAUGGCGGCCUCGUCUUCGUCCACGUGUACCUACAGCCGGGCUACCUGGGGCACGCGGUACUAGCGCCCUUUCCGCCGCUAGCCGCCCCUUCCCGCCGCUAGCCGGCCUGCCCCGCUGUAACCUUACCCGGCGUACUAGUUGCGAUCCAGCACCCAGAAAAAAGCGCGCUGCCUUCCCCCUAGCCGAGCUCGGUACACGAGCCGAGAUGGAUAUACCCGUGCUGCGUAUACCGCGCCCUAUGCAAUUCGUGGCAUACGGGUUUUAUGGGAUCCUUGUACGCCGGUUGGUAGUAUACGAGGUAUAGCCACACGGCAACUUUACUUAUAGUUUUAGUGUAUCGGUUUGGUGGACGUUUAAUUUUUUUUAGUGUAUCGGUUUCUCUAUGAUGAUUAUUUCAUCCAUUGAACGUUUCCUAAUGUAUCAAAAAUGUUUUUUUGUUAGAUCUGUGUAAUCCUCCUUGUCUCGAUUACUAACAAGGAGAACCCCCACUGAUCCUAGGAAUGGAGUCGUUAAGUAGUUGACUGGCUCACUUUUAAGACUUGUACAGAGAACCCUUAGUAGCAUGCUCAGGGAUUUUAUUGUAAAGAAUGAGAUGGAAUUAAUCAACCAGGUAGUAGCAGUCUUUGUAGUAUGUUCGUAUACAGAGAUCCUAGGUGAAGUAGAGUCUUGGAAAACCGAGGUAUAAAGCAGCGGAUAGGUUGACAACUCCGUUCUCGAAGAUUGAAGAUAACUGUACGUUCAGCAAAACCACGAAUUACGGUCCUUCGGUAACCGUAUAACAGAAACGUACAGACAUUAGCCCUGUAGUGGUACAGAAAUCUCAUAUCCCUAAUCAGUACUUCACCGAAGCGGUCUUGCCAUGAUAGUAUUACAUUACGUCCUCGAGGGCUACGGAGACUUCGGAUGGUACGCCUUCAACACCUUCACGUAGGAUACGUGCCUUGGUACGUACCUGCUGCAUGUCUGACACACGGUCGUUUAAUUCGGUGCCGUUUGGUGGUGUCUAGAAAGGAGACGAUGCGGAGGCGCCGUGUACCGGAGAGGAGGCUCGAGGGGACCGGUUGGCUCGCCCUGCACGUCACUCCUGCGGUAGGGGCAGCAGCUGAACCGGCAGGAGCAGUUGCCGCUGCGACCCCUUGCCAGCGUCCGCCAGGUCGUGGAGCCGGCCCGCACGGUUCUGACCCCGAAGAAGUACCACUGGUUGGUACCCCACGGGCUCCGAGAGGUCUCGCGCGAUUACCUACGCACGUCACUCGACAAGUCGGAUGGCGGUCUCGUCUUCGUCCUCGUGUACCUGCGGCCGGGGUACCUGGGGCACGCGCAGCCGUGCCCGAAGUUGAGGCGGCAGCUGCCGCGGUCCAUGACCGCCCUGAUGCACUUCUACAAGCGCGUGGGACUCGAGGUGACGGGGCGGUUCGGGCUGUCGGACGCCCCGCACCGGCGCCUCAUGCGCCGCGCGUGCUCCCCGGACGACGACCUCGAGUGCCGCCGGUAGAGGCUCUCGGACCCCGAGGUGCAGCCGGCGUAGCGACUCGCGGAGCUGGACCCCAGGACGAAGGUCUAGGAGCAGCCGUUGGUGAUGGGCGGCACGCGACGACUGAGCCUGCUGCUGCUGCCCCGCUAGCCCGACGGCCGAGUGAGGCUGGUGCCGGAGGAGUGGGACGAGAAGGUCUUACCGCAGCUACCGGAGGUCCAGUUCGUGGUGCCGGCCACCGAGGAGCGUUUCGGGGAGGGGCCGAGUAAGAAGCAGUAGCGGCCGCUAGUCGACCUCUAGCACUCGUUACCUUCCAUGUUCCCACACGAGGUGGCACGUGACCAGCUGGCGCGCGUCCGCUCCUACAGCACGCACUCGGACGAGCCCGGCACGGAGCUGCGGCAGCAGCUCGGCCCCGGCCUCGACCGGCACGGUGGGGACCCGGAUCUCAAGUCCCCCCAGUUCAUGUCCCUGAUGUACCUUGUGGUCGUCUCGUUGUUCGAGUUGCUCUUCCCUCGCGACCUGGAUCAAGCCCACGUCGCAGUGUAUGUAUGAUGACUGUGCGAGACGUCAAGAAGUUAAAUGAUCCGUACUAAGGGGUCCAAUUUUGGGAGUUCAACUGGUUUUAAAGACACAGGUAUAAAAAAAAUCGUUGGCCGACCUCGAGACUGAAAAGUUAUUCUUCUCUUAACUGGUUGUUCAUGACUGUUGUCAUCGCAGAUCGAUACUGAAAAGUAAUCCUUCUUCUUUUAACUGAUUGCCGA
rnacentral:rRNA from 1 species